CACGUUAUUGCUAGUUGAGAAUGUACUUAUACGAUCGUUCCACCACAGUUUGGAACUUGUUCUGGUGAAAUCAUUGUAGUAGAUUGUACGAUUAGGAAACAUUGGGAUCAUGCAAUCCAAGCACAAUUUAGUGUUUGGUAAAGAAUUAGUAUAAAGAAGUUGGCGAGUUGGACAAAGCUCUGGCUGCCAGACUAAGAGCUUGAGCAAUCACUCUGAUGAUCCACAUCAACUGCUUUUCCAAUUUCCAUGUUUAGGACAUUGCAACCGGGCAGCCUUAGCUCCUCUCACGUCAUCAGCUACUUCUGCUGUCAGCAUGCACGUCUUAGUCAUUACUAGCUAAUGUUGCAUGUUAAUACCUUUGUUUUUGCUCAGUCGUACAGCGGCUCUUCGGGUGAAAAAAAAUCAGACUAUCUCUGUGUACUGAACCUUGUACCAUCUAUCUCUGGCGACUUUGCAAAUACUGA
rnacentral:lncRNA from 1 species